rnacentral:rRNA from 1 species
CCAAUAGCGUAUAUUAAAGUUGUUGCAGUUAAAAAGCUCGUAGUUGAAUUUCGGGGUUCUACCGUUGGUCGGGCUUUGUCUGUACUGGCGUGUAGAAUUUCUACCUUCUGGGGAACUAUCAUGUUAUUAAUUUAGCGUGGUAGGAAACCAGGACCUUUACCUUGAAAAAAUUAGAGUGUUCAAAGCAGGCUUAUGUCUGAAUACAUUAGCAUGGAAUAAUAAAAUAGGACGGUGGUCCUGUUUUGUUGGUUUCUGAAUCACCGUAAUGAUUAAUAGGGAUAGUUGGGGGCAUUAGUAUUCAAUUGUCAGAGGGUAAAUUCUUGGAUUUAUUGAAGACUAACUACUGCGAAAGCAUUUGCCAAGGAUGUUUUCAUUAAUCAAGAACGAAAGUUAGGGGAUCGAAGACGAUCAGAUACCGUCGUAGUCUUAACCAUAAACUAUGCCGACUAGGGAUCGGACGAUGUUAACUUUUCUUGACUCGUUCGGCGCCUUACG